GAGUAAUCUUACAAGGAAAGAGCUGUCCUUUGGGACACAAUGCUGGAGGUUUAAGAGUUUGCCACAGCUGUCGUCUCGAUGCUGGUUGGCCUCAGGACUUCAAGAAUUUGGAAGACCUUUAAGGAAAUGCAGACUUUACUGAAGUAGAGACCCAUUUCCCGCACUUACCACCGCGGAUGUGUUCCUAGUGCAGGCCGCACACACUUGUGUCCAAAUUACCUCUUAAAAGGAAUUUUUCUCCC